rnacentral:misc_RNA from 1 species
GCACGUUCCAAUAACUUAUGUCAAGUAAUUACAUUGUUGCGAUUACAAAUAAUUGCGUUGUCUAGUUCAAGUAGAAAUCCAUUUGAGUUAGAUUCAUUUUACGUCCCUUGCACAGGGAUAAUCAACGGUUCCGGGGUUUUGGAUAGAAUGGUCGCGUGAUGGAAUUCCCAUAUUCAUUUAAACUCGUAAGCACGAUCUAACUCCGUGCUGUUAAAAAGUUGGAGCGCAACAGUGUCAUAAACUAGGCGAUUACGCUAUAUAUUCGCCUAUACUACGCUAUACAUGGUAUAGCAAUUUAGGUGGAAGUUUUAGCGCGAUCGAGUAAAGAGUUAAAACUCCGCAGUCUCGUAAAGCAAACG